rnacentral:lncRNA from 1 species
AAAACUGUUCUCGCAAUUCAAUGUAGUUUCUUCCUCAUCCCCACUCUCCCCGUAAUUUCAGCCUUAGCGGUUUUACACCCACGUCUCUGCUCACAUCUUUCAACCAACUGCCGCCAUCCAUUAUAAACCCCCACCUCCACUAUAUCCCUCCUUCAAACCUACAACAUAAAAUUGGCAGUUUAUCAAGGAUAACAGUUUUGGAUUUGGUGGAUAGUUUCUUCCCCAUUCCACUGCCCCAUGAUUCCAGGUCUCCAUCGCUCCUCAACCACUAUAAACCCUACCAACACCUACGCUCUCUUCAAAUCUGAAGCUGAUUGGGCUCAAAUUGAAGGGAAGCCCCAGAUGUAGAUAUGUUCAUCGCAGGACUAAAACAGAGACGUACGAGACAUGCUUGGUUAUUGGCAAGGGUUGUUAGGAGAGCGCUUUCUUCAUUGGUUAUUUUAAUAUCAUUGGCAAUCUAAACCAAUUUUAAGUCAUAGAUCAAUCCAAGGCAUCAUUAUGGGCAUAAUCUUCACUUUUAUUACCUUAAAUGGUUGCACUCUCCAAGCAAAGAAGCUUUUUUACUAAGAAGCUUUUUUACUGGAUGGAUGUAGGAGAAGGUAAAGAAG